ACAGGUACACACACACACAGGGCUACAGGUACACACACACACAGGGCUACAGGUACACACACACACACAGGGCUACAGGUACACACACACACACAGGGCUACAGGUACACACACACACACACAGGGCUACAGGUACACACACACACAGGGCUACAGGUACACACACACACAGGGCUACAGGUACACACACACACAGGGCUACAGGUACACACACACAGGGCUACAGGUACACACACACACAGGGCUACAGGUACACACACACACAGGGCUACAGGUACACACACACACAGGGCUACAGGUACACACACACACACAGGGCUACAGGUACACACACACACACAGGGCUACAGGUACACACACACACAGGGCUACAGUUACACACACACACACAGGGCUACAGGUACACACACACACACACACACACACACACACACAGGGCUACAGGUACACCCUACACACACACACACAGGGCUACAGGUACACACACACACACACACACACACACACACACACACACACACACACACACACACACACACAGGGCUACAG
rnacentral:lncRNA from 1 species